AUGGCUAAUUUGAAGAGUCCCAAUAGAAGAGGACUUUGGUAAAGAGUCCCAUUGGAUGGAGAUUCUGCUGAAGAGUCCCACUGGAUGGAGAUUCUAGAGAAGAGUUCUACUAGACUUAGACUCUAUCAUUAAUUGAGAAUUAAUUAAUAAUUAGAUCACUAAUUAGCUCAAUUUGAUUGAGCAUUAAAGUUUGGAUCAAGUUUGAUUGAAUUGGAUUCAAUCCG
rnacentral:lncRNA from 1 species